UACAGAGACUGCAAGCGUUAUUCGGAUUCACUGGGCGUAAAGGGUGCGCAGGCGGCCAAGUGUGUGAGGCGUGAAAGCCCGGGGCUUAACCCCGGAAUUGCACCUCAAACUACAUGGCUAGAGCAUUGGAGAGGGUAGCAGAAUUCAUGGUGUAGCAGUGAAAUGCGUAGAUAUCAUGAGGAAUACCAGAGGCGAAGGCGGCUACCUGGACAAUUGCUGACGCUCAGGCACGAAAACGUGGGGAGCAAAAGGG
rnacentral:rRNA from 1 species